rnacentral:lncRNA from 1 species
AACUGUUCUCAAUGUUCGUUUCUUGUAAGAGUGUGUAAUUUUCCCAAGUGUAACUAUUAUUAACAAAAUAUAGUUUUUACAUUUAUAGUUUAAGUGAAAGGAUCACUAAAUAUAUGUACAGGGAAAAAUUAAUGUAGUACUAAAACGUAGCGCUAUAAGAACUACUGUUGUACUAAUUACCUUAAACCGGAUUUAUAUUAAGGCAUUAUGUGAUAAAUUGCACCAUACUAUCGACGGAUAACAACGACAUACGAAUGGUCGUAAUAACGGAAUGACGUUUGGCACCCGCAGACCUGCAGGUCCGGCUGUAGCUAGCAGCAAGGUGUAGGAUUGUCAAUCCAGUAUAGAUCUAUACGCAAACUCACGCUCUCCCUACAAGAGACUCUGGCUACAACUCGAGUCAUGACAUUUAAGUCAUGCUCCGAUUUAAAUCACAAUAAUUAUCGUAUUCUCGUAUAUGUACUGUAAUGAACUGUUCUAACUGUAAUGUACGUGCUCUCUACCUAGCAAGUAUAGUAAUGUAAUGAACUGUUCUAACUGUAAUGUACGUGCUCUCUACCUAGCAAGUAUAG